UGGGCGACUCUAAGGAGGACUGCCGGUGCAAACCGGAGGAAGGUGGGGAUGACGUCAAGUCAUCAUGGCCCUUACGGCCUGGGCUACACACGUGCUACAAUGGUCGGUACAAAGGGUUGCCAAGCCGCGAGGUGGAGCUAAUCCCAUAAAACCGAUCGUAGUCCGGAUCGCAGUCUGCAACUCGACUGCGUGAAGUCGGAAUCGCUAGUAAUCGUGAAUCAGAAUGUCACGGUGAAUACGUUCCCGGGCCUU
rnacentral:rRNA from 1 species